CCUAGUGGACUCCCAGGAGAGAGGGGUGCUGCUGGCAUACCUGGAGGCAAGGGAGAAAAGGGUGAACCUGGUCUCAGAGGUGAAAUUGGUAACCCUGGCAGAGAUGGUGCUCGUGGUGCUCCUGGUGCUGUAGGUGCCCCUGGUCCUGCUGGAGCCACAGGUGACCGGGGCGAAGCUGGUGCUGCUGGUCCUGCUGGUCCUGCUGGUCCUCGGGGAAGCCCUGGUGAACGUGGUGAGGUCGGUCCUGCUGGCCCCAAUGGAUUUGCUGGUCCCGCUGGUGCUGCUGGUCAACCUGGUGCUAAAGGAGAAAGAGGAACCAAAGGGCCUAAGGGUGAAAACGGUGUUGUUGGUCCCACAGGCCCCGUUGGAGCUGCUGGCCCAGCUGGUCCAAACGGUCCCCCCGGUCCUGCUGGAAGUCGUGGUGAUGGAGGCCCCCCUGUGAGUAUUUACAAUGGACUCUCGCCACUUUUCUUUCUUCAGAAUCUGUUAAGGACACUUGAAAGUUUUGAAAUUUUUGGUAAAUUUGGACUACCAUGAGGAAACUUUUGAGAUUCAAGUUCAUUCUAUUCAGAGCAAUUCCAAUAUUGAUGUUAACUUGAACUCAGCUGGAACUCAGUGUAUGUUGCUAUCACCUCACUUGAGAUAAUAACCAAGGUGGGCCCUAGGCAGUUUAAUUGUAAAGUCAGAAAAAAUAUUUCUUUGGCGUCUUUCAUCUGUUUAUUAAUAUGCCCCUUCUUCUGCCUGACCACGUCCUUCCCCUUUGCAGGCAAUGCUAUCACAACAAUU
rnacentral:sRNA from 1 species